AUUGAACGCUGGCGGCAGGCCUAACACAUGCAAGUCGAACGGUAACAGGAAGAAGCUUGCUUCUUUGCUGACGAGUGGCGGACGGGUGAGUAAUGUCUGGGAAACGGCCUGAUGGAGGGGGAUAACUACUGGAAACGGUAGCUAAUACCGCAUAAUGUCGCAAGACCAAAGAGGGGGACCUUCGGGCCUCUUGCCAUCGGAUGUGCCCAGAUGGGAUUAGCUAGUAGGUGGGGUAACGGCUCACCUAGGCGACGAUCCCUAGCUGGUCUGAGAGGAUGACCAGCCACACUGGAACUGGGACACGGUCCAGACCCCUACGGGAGGCAGCAGUGGGGAAUAUUGCACAAUGGGCGCAAGCCUGAUGCAGCUAUGCCGCGUGUAUGAAGAAGGCCUUCGGGUUGUAAAGUACUUUCAGCGGGGAGGAAGGGAGUAAAGUUAAUACCUUGGCUCAUUGACGUUACCCGCAGAAGAAGCACCGGCUAACUCCGUG
rnacentral:rRNA from 1 species